rnacentral:rRNA from 1 species
GUCUACUGAUAUGACACUCUGAAUGUACCCUAUUUCACUUGAUCUCAGAAGCUAAGCAGGAUCAGGCUUGCUUAGUAUUUGGAUGGGAGGCAAGAGGAUAAAAUUUGUAUACA